AAGAACAUACACCGAUGAUAACUUUUGUUUUUCCCUCUUGUGUUCUGCUUAGUAGGAUGGAGAAAGAAGUCAAGGGUAAGAGCCCACCCCCGUUGUGAGAUGGAAGGCGCACAAGAGCCAUGAGACAGUGAGCAUUGUUGAUGCCAGGCUAUGGCGAUGCCAUCUAGCUGGAAGCGGAGCAGCCGUCACUGUCAGUGAGCUAAGUGUCUGGUUUGGUGAGGAGUCUGGUCACGGCCCACAUGGCUCCAGGCAGGGAUGCGCCGUUAGCUUGGUCUGUGUUUGUAAGAAAAGGUUCCCGUCUAGCUGUGGCUACGAGGGAGACGAGGUCCCCGUUAUCAGGGGCUGCUCAUUUUGUCUGGCCAGGAGCGGUGUGUCCACCGCAGCGAAAGGUUGCAUCUAGGAGGAUGACUCUAGCUGAGGAACAGUCGAGCAGCAGCCGAAGGAAAAGCUGGCAGAGGUGGACCAGAGCAGCCUGGACAUCCUUGUAAGCAGAGAUUAACAGUGCUCCGCUUUCUGCCUUCCGCAUAACUGACUAGGGAGAAUUUCCCUAUAUUGGGAGCAGCUGAUCUUCCUGGACAGGGAGGAGCAUGUUCACCUGAGCAGAGGCCUGGAACCGGAAAGGUGAGUAC